UACGGAGGGGGCAAGCGUUGUUCGGAAUUACUGGGCGUAAAGGGCGCGUAGGCGGCCUUCUAAGUCGGACGUGAAAUCCCCGGGCUCAACCCGGGAACUGCGUCCGAGACUGAAAGGCUUGAAUCCGGGAGAGGGAUGUGGAAUUCCAGGUGUAGCGGUGAAAUGCGUAGAUAUCAGGAAGAACACCAAUGGCGAAGGCAGCUCGCUGGGACGUUACUGACGCUGAGACGCGAAAGCGUGGGGAGCAAACAGG
rnacentral:rRNA from 1 species